GUGGGAUUGUGGGUAAUUGUCUGCCAUGCUCGGUCUCAGUCACUCGUAUAGUCAAAAUUUAGAAAAGCACCACCGGAAUAAGGGUCUUCCAGAAGAAAUUAAUGUCCUGAAGCCAGUGCAGUACCCUGUGCACACAGCUUGUUGAAGAAAGAGACCGGAAAGAAGAGAAAAACAAACAAACAUCAAUAUGGUAUCUAGAGUAGUCGCUUUGAACCUUGGACAGCAGGUGGGACAGCGGUGUGGGAGCUGGAUCGAGGAGGUGGUUCACGUCUCCGGCUGGGAGGCAGGAGGAGAGAGGAGACGCGGUUAAUUUCAGCAGCAGGGAUGGAACUGCAU